CCUACGGGAGGCAGCAGUGGGGAAUAUUGCACAAUGGGGGAAACCCUGAUGCAGCGACGCCGCGUGAAGGAAGAAGUAUCUCGGUAUGUAAACUUCUAUCAGCAGGGAAGAUAGUGACGGUACCUGACUAAGAAGCCCCGGCUAACUACGUGCCAGCAGCCGCGGUAAUACGUAGGGAGCGAGCGUUGUCCGGAAUUACUGGGUGUAAAGGGAGCGUAGGCGGGAUCGCAAGUCAGAUGUGAAAACUAUGGGCUUAACCCAUAAACUGCAUUUGAAACUGUGGUUCUUGAGUGAAGUAGAGGUAAGCGGAAUUCCUAGUGUAGCGGUGAAAUGCGUAGAUAUUAGGAGGAACAUCAGUGGCGAAGGCGGCUUACUGGGCUUUAACUGACGCUGAGGCUCGAAAGCGUGGGGAGCAAACAGGAUU
rnacentral:rRNA from 1 species